UCUGUCUCCUCCAUGUACAUUAAUCAGAACCAAAUCACCACUGAAGAGGCUCUCUCUUAAAGGGAAGUAACAUGCCAACACAUCCUGCUGAGCCGUCAUUUUGGCAUGUAUACUCCCAGCAACUGGAACCAGCAACAUGGAGGAGCUGCCAUUUCAAGAACUUCUUGAGCUUGGCCUUUGGCUCCUGUUUCAGAAUGCAGACAGAGUUUCCAUGAGAUACUGCUGCAACCUUGUCUGUGGGUGCGUCCUCCACACUAGCACAAAGACUGUCCCAGAUUAGAAGGUGAAAAAAGCAGACAAGGGAAGACAUGUUCUGUGAUUUGAUGCGUUCCUCCGAGACUGACAGGGCUCAGCUGAAUGCAUGGAGGCUUACACUGUCGGAGAGCAUGCGCACCAACCAAGAGGGGAGGAAAGCAUGCAGGGAACAAAAGUGUAACAUGCAAGAGGAGAUGUUGUGGCUUAUGGGGCAGCAAACAGACAUGUUGAGGCAUCUGGCUGAAGUGCAGGAAAGGCAGCUAGACCUUAGAGUUCUGCUGCACCCAAUGAUGAACCAGCUGCCCUCCUCACCAAGUUCCAUAUCCUCCACUCCCAGACAUCCUAGAAUGCAGGGGGGAGGGGAAGGGAGCUCCGUUAGCCCUUGAAUUCAACUCCAGGGGAUGGUUCAUGGAGCAGAAGGCUCUCAUUCCCAUAGCUUUGAUUGCUAAACAAUGCUAUUGUAAUAAGCUACGUGUCCUUGCCCCUCCCCCCAUGUUAUCAGGCCCUUAGA